CAGAAUCGCGAACAGAUGACUCUCCUUCCAUGGCGGCUGCUGUUUCGUCCGAACGAUCUCCACCAGCUGCAAGCAAUCAGAUUCAAUCACAAGUGGCUGAAGAUGGAGACCCUUCUGGAUGAUCCGUUGAAGAGCAGACAUAAGAGCGUAGAUCUCGGCUUGGAAUGGCGACUGAGCAGGCACAGAUCGGGUAAGCACAUCCGUCAAAAUUCCUCUACUGUCUCUGUAAACGCAAGCUAUGGAUCCUUGCUCAGAUGCUGGGCGAAAAGCCCCAUCAAUAUUGCAUUUGAUAAAGCCUUCCGCUGGGGGGGUCCAUCCGUGCCCUAGACUGAUCUGACCCUUUUGAAUCUUCUUUGGCGAGGGUUGGAUGACCUUGAAGAUAAUGCGUUGGGAGAGGGCUUCAUUGAUGACAAGAAGAGAAUCCAACGGAGAGUGGCGAAAGACGGCGUUGUUUCGAUGUUUCCAAAUUUCCCACAGGAGAUGAGCAAUCACUUCGAAAUCCAGAGACUCUCGAGGGUUAGAAAUAUAGUCUACAAGCCAAGCAUCAAGUCUGCGUACUGAGGUAGGACAUAUACUGACUCUGAUAUCUUCAUGGUUCCAUAUGUCGUGAGUCCAAGGGCAAAAGAAAAACAGAUGCUCUAUUGUUUUUGGUAUAGAGUUAUGGCAGAGGGUACAAAAGGGGUGCUGAAUGAUAUGUCGCUGGUAAAGGUUCUGUUUUGUGGCUAAUGCGUUUUUACAAGCUAACCAUAGAAAAGCUUUAAGCUUGGGCACUGUCUGCAUAUUCCAAAUUUUUUUCCAUAACAUAGGCGGGUUAGUAUAAGAGGAUGAUGGGGUUUUAAUUAUGUGCUGAGAUUGUGCAGAGAGAUAAUGAUGACAACUCUUCACUGAGUAGGUACCAGAAGAUGUCUCUGUCCAAACCAGGUGAUCGUGGUGAAGAAAAGGAUUGAUAGGAGUGUUGAGAAUGGCUUUACUAACCUGGUGAUCGAAGAAUGAAGUAACUGAGGAAGACUUCCAUUCAGAACGUUGAGAAUCAAUGAGAUCAGCAACAAGUGCUGGUUCGCCCUCAGCAGGUAAGCCUCCUAUCUGACCUUGAGGUAACCAAUGAUCUGUUCUAAUAUGAAUCUGCGACCCAUCUCCGACUAACCAUCGUAAUUUAGGAGUAAUAACCUCUCUGCCUUUCACUAAACUCUACCACCCCCAAGAAGGCCGAUGUCCUAAAGUAGCAAUUUGGAAAGAGGAGUAUCGAAAAUAUAAACCUUUAAAGAGCCGACUCCAAAUAGCUUGAGGUUGUUGAAAAAGUCUCCAGGCUUGCUUUCCAAGCAUAGAUUUGUUAAAGUUAAUUAAAUCACGAAAACCCAUCCCCCCUGAAGCUUUGGACAGCUUUAAUUCGUACCAGUUUUUCCAGUGAAUGCCCGUAUUACUGUUAUGCUUACUCCACCAAAAAGCUGAGAUCUUCUUUUCUAUUAAUCUGCAGAGAGACAACGGAAGCUUGAAGAUGGACAUGGCAUAUUGCGGUAAGGCCUGUAUCACUGAUUUGAGUAAGAUUUCCUUGCCACUUUUCGAUAAAAAUUGUUCUCGCCAACCUGCUAAUCUAGCAUUUACUCUUGCCAGAAUCCAGGAGAACAUUUCCUUCUUGGAUCGGCCCCAAUCCGAAGGAAUGCCCAGGUAUUUUCCAUACUUAGUGAGAAUAGGUACCCUGAGUUCUUGUGCUAUGUUCUGUUGUCGCCCAGAGGAGCACAUCCUUUGGCUAUCCGAAAAAGAAGGGGCUCACAUUUGUAUUACUAAUGAAUUAUUUAUCACUAGCUCUUUUUGUGAGGCAAGCACAAAUAAUUAGAUCGAACCACAUAAAUAUCUGACGUUCUUUAUUAUUUCUCAUUAAUUUCUCAAGUGAUUUCACACUAUUUUAUUUGCAAGAUUAGAUUCAUUUCCACGUUAAUUUUACAACAUUCUCCAGUAAGGACUCGGCGUAUUAUGAUUCUAAUUCUCUUUGCCAAUGACCAUGACCAAAGUUUACCAACCAAUAAUUGAUCGGUGUCCUGCAAAUAUCGUACUAGAACAACUUGACCUGGCAGCAUAGCGCACCACAGGCAUAGCAACGAGGAAGCGUCCUUGCUGUCACAUGCUAAGAUUGUCCUAUGUUUCUAGCCGGCUCUGAUAUGGGAAUUCCACUGGAAGUUGUGAAAAUUGCUAAGUAAAUUUGGCUAUCCGAAAAAGAAGGGGAUCACAUUUGUAUUAUUAAUGAAUUAUUUAUCACUAGCUCUUUUUGUGAGGCAAGUGCCAAUAAUUAGACCGAAGCACAUAAAUAUCUGACGUUUCUUAUUAUUUCUCAUUUAUUUCUCCAGUGAUUUCACACUAUUUUAUUUGCAAGAUUAGCUUAGUUUCCACGUUAAUUUUACAACAUUCUCCAGCAAGGACUCGGCGUAUUAUGAUUCUAAUUCUCUUUGCGGAUGACCAAGACCAAAGUUUAGCAGCCAAUAAUUGAUCGGUGUCCUGCAAAUAUCGCACUUGGAAGACUUGACCCGGCAUUACAGCGCCCCACAGGCGUAACAACAAGGAAGCGUCCUUGAUGUCACAUGCUUAGAUUGUCCUGUUUCUAGGCGGCUCUCAUAUGGGAAUUCCACUGGAAAUUGCGAAAAUUGCUGAAUAAAUGUAUGUUUCUCAUUCUCAACCAAAUUCUGAAGUGUUUAUUUCAAUAUUUUAUUUUCAACGCAUGGUAUUUUCUGAAUCGCAUGUUGCUCUUAACUUCUCCAGGCUCUUCACAGCUGCUAAUGAAUUAUUCAGAUUUUAUGUUUAUUCAACUCGCACGGCAAAGUGCUGAUCUCAUCGUAGCAAUAAUUCUUUUGAGCUAUAUUUCAUCUUACUUUGUGUUACUUUUCGAAAGGAAUCUAAUGUAAUACAUGAAAUUUCUAGAAAAUAGGAAGAAUCAAGCUAUUAGAGCAUGUCACCUGUUAUUUGUUCUGUUAUGGGAAUUUUGAAAGGACAAAACUUCAGGCUAAAAUCUUGUUUUGCUUUUCGAAUGAUAGAUUACGCCCAUUAACCAAAAGAAACUUGUUUUGUUGACUUGAAUACCGAUAUGGUUCCAGUCUGCACAGCUUGUUUCGUUUCGGAGCAUAUUUUUACCACAUACCAUUUGGUUAAUGUUGACGGGAAGUCGUCGGUGACUGGAGAAAAAGACAAUUUUGUGAGUUCUGUAUGAACUUCUCUUUAGCUGGAGACUCCGCUUGUCAUGACAUUGACUCUAUAUGCAGAUGAUGUCUAAAGUCUACCAUCCACCAAUGGAUUCGGUGUCCAGCAAUAAUUAUGCUGGAACGACUUGACCUAUAUUCUAGUAGUACAUCACGAGCACACCAAUAUAGAAGAGUCGUUCAUGUCCUAUGCUGAGUUUCUACGAUGUUUCUGGCAAUCAUAUGUGAAUCACAUGCGAAAAGUGCGAAAAUUGCUAAUUGAAUUUAGUCUCGUUCUCAACCUAAUUCUGGUGUUUCUCAUUCCCAUGUUUUAUCUUCUAUGGAUACCAUCUUAUCUUUCGUAUGUUAAUGGUUUCUUCUCUCAGGAGUCUUUAAAGCAACUAAAUAAUUGUUUCCACUUUACGGUUGGUAAACUCAUCCUCAUAAACAAAUGAGAACAUGACUAUUUUGCAAAUUGUCCCUUUGAUACCAUUUCAUUGGUUGAGCUACGAAGAUAUACAAGAAAAAUUCUAAAAACCAGGGUCUCACGAUUCCUUCGACAAACAAAAUUCUAAAAACAAAUCAAACAUAUGCUCCAUUUAUGCCACGAAAAUUAAAUGAUUUGAAAAAUAUUAAAAAAAAAAAAAAAAAACGUGGAAGGGUCCUUGAUGUCACAUGCUAAGAUUGUCUUAUGUCUCUAGGUGGUUCUCACAUGGCAACUCCACUGGAAAUUGCGAAAAUUGCUAAAUAAAUUUGGUUAUCCGAAAAGGAAGGGGCUCACAUUUGUAUUAUUAAUGAAUUAUUUACCAAUAGCUCUUUUUUUUUAGGCAAGUACCAAUAAUUAGACCGAACCACGUAAAUAUCUAACAUUCUUUAUUAUUUCUCAUUUGCUUCUCAAGUGAUUUCACACUAUUUUAUUUGCAAGACUAGAUUAGUUUCCACGUUAAUUUUACGACGUUCUCCAGUAAGGACUCGGCGUAUUAUGAUUCUAAUUCUCUUUGUUGAUGACGAUGACCAAAGUUUACCAACCAAUAAUUGAUCGGUGUCCUGCAAAUAUCGCACUAGAACAACUUGACCUGGCAGCAUAGCGCACCACAGGCAUAGCAACGAGGAAGCGUCCUUGCUGUCACAUGCUAAGAUUGUCCUAUGUUUCUAGGCCGCUCUCAUGUGGGAAUUCCACUGGAAAUUGCGAAAAGUGCUGAAUAAAUGUAUGUUUCUCAUUCUCAACCAAAUUCUGAAGUGUUUAUUUCAAUAUUUUAUUUUCAACGCAUGGCAUUUUCUGAAUCGCAUGUUGCUCUUAACUUCUCCAGGCUCUUCACAGCAGCUAAUGAAUUAUUCAGAUUUUAUGUUUAUUCAACUCACACGGCAAAGUGCUGAUCUCAUCGUUGCAAUAAUUCUUUUGAGCUAUAUUUCAUCUUACUUUGUGUUACUUUUCGAAAGGAAUCUAAUGUAAUACAUGAAAUUUCUAGAAAAUAGGAAGAAUCAAGCUAUUAGAGCAUGUCACCUGUUAUUUGUUCUGUUAUGGGAAUUUUGAAAGGACAAAACUUCAGGCUAAAAUCUUGUUUUGCUUUUCGAAUGAUAGAUUACGCCCAUUAACCAAAAGAAACUUGUUUUGUUGACUUGAAUACCGAUAUGGUUCCAGUCUGCACAGCUUGUUUCGUUUCGGAGCAUAUUUUUACCACAUACCAUUUGGUUAAUGUUGACGGGAAGUCGUCGGUGACUGGAGAAAAAGACAAUUUUGUGAGUUCUGUAUGAACUUCUCUUUAGCUGGAGACUCCGCUUGUCAUGACAUUGACUCUAUAUGCAGAUGAUGUCUAAAGUCUACCAUCCACCAAUGGAUUCGGUGUCCAGCAAUAAUUAUGCUGGAACGACUUGACCUAUAUUCUAGUAGUACAUCACGAGCACACCAAUAUAGAAGAGUCGUUCAUGUCCUAUGCUGAGUUUCUACGAUGUUUCUGGCAAUCAUAUGUGAAUCACAUGCGAAAAGUGCGAAAAUUGCUAAUUGAAUUUAGUCUCGUUCUCAACCUAAUUCUGGUGUUUCUCAUUCCCAUGUUUUAUCUUCUAUGGAUACCAUCUUAUCUUUCGUAUGUUAAUGGUUUCUUCUCUCAGGAGUCUUUAAAGCAACUAAAUAAUUGUUUCCACUUUACGGUUGGUAAACUCAUCCUCAUAAACAAAUGAGAACAUGACUAUUUUGCAAAUUGUCCCUUUGAUACCAUUUCAUUGGUUGAGCUACGAAGAUAUACAAGAAAAAUUCUAAAAACCAGGGUCUCACGAUUCCUUCGACAAACAAAAUUCUAAAAACAAAUCAAACAUAUGCUCCAUUUAUGCCACGAAAAUUAAAUGAUUUGAAAAAUAUUAAAAAAAAAAAAAAAAAACGUGGAAGGGUCCUUGAUGUCACAUGCUAAGAUUGUCUUAUGUCUCUAGGUGGUUCUCACAUGGCAACUCCACUGGAAAUUGCGAAAAUUGCUAAAUAAAUUUGGUUAUCCGAAAAGGAAGGGGCUCACAUUUGUAUUAUUAAUGAAUUAUUUACCAAUAGCUCUUUUUUUUUAGGCAAGUACCAAUAAUUAGACCGAACCACGUAAAUAUCUAACAUUCUUUAUUAUUUCUCAUUUGCUUCUCAAGUGAUUUCACACUAUUUUAUUUGCAAGACUAGAUUAGUUUCCACGUUAAUUUUACGACGUUCUCCAGUAAGGACUCGGCGUAUUAUGAUUCUAAUUCUCUUUGUUGAUGACGAUGACCAAAGUUUACCAACCAAUAAUUGAUCGGUGUCCUGCAAAUAUCGCACUAGAACAACUUGACCUGGCAGCAUAGCGCACCACAGGCAUAGCAACGAGGAAGCGUCCUUGCUGUCACAUGCUAAGAUUGUCCUAUGUUUCUAGGCCGCUCUCAUGUGGGAAUUCCACUGGAAAUUGCGAAAAGUGCUGAAUAAAUGUAUGUUUCUCAUUCUCAACCAAAUUCUGAAGUGUUUAUUUCAAUAUUUUAUUUUCAACGCAUGGCAUUUUCUGAAUCGCAUGUUGCUCUUAACUUCUCCAGGCUCUUCACAGCAGCUAAUGAAUUAUUCAGAUUUUAUGUUUAUUCAACUCACACGGCAAAGUGCUGAUCUCAUCGUUGCAAUAAUUCUUUUGAGCUAUAUUUCAUCUUACUUUGUGUUACUUUUCGAAAGGAAUCUAAUGUAAUACAUGAAAUUUCUAGAAAAUAGGAAGAAUCAAGCUAGAAGAGCAGGUUACCUGUUAUUUCUUCUGUUAUGGGAAGUUUGAAAGGACAAAACUUCAGGCCAAAAUCUUGUUUUCCUUUUCGAAUGAUGGAUUACGCCCAUUAACCAAAAAAAAAAAAAAAAAAAACUUGUUUUGUUGACUUGAAUACUAAUAUGGUUCCAGUCUGCACAGCUUGUUUCGUUUUGGAGCAGAUUUUUACCAUACACCAUAUGGUUAAUGUUGACGGGAAGUCGUCGGUGAUGGGAGAAAAAGACAAUUCUGCGAGUUCUGUAUGAACUUCUCUUUGGCUGGAGACUCCGCUAGUCAAGACAUUGACUCUAUAUGCAGAUGAUGUUUAAAGUCUACCAUCCACCAAUGGAUUCGGUGUCCAGCAAUAAUUAUGCUGGAGCGACUUGACCUGUAUUCUAGUAGUAUAUCACCAGCACACCAAUAUAGAAGAGUCGUUCAUGUCCUAUGAUAAGUUUCGACGAUGUUUCUGGCUCUCAUAUGAGAAUGCCAUGCGAGAAGUGCGAAAAUUGCUAAUUGAAUUUAGUCUCGUUCUCAGCCUAAUUCUGGUGUUUCUCAUUCCCAUAUUUUAUCUUCGAUGGAUAGCAUCUUAUCAUUCGCAGGUCAAUGGUUUCUUCUCUCACGAGUCUUUAAAGCAGCUAAAUAAUUGUUUCCACUUUAUGGUUUGUCAGCUCAUCCUCAUAAACAAAUGAGAACAUGACUAUUUUGCGAAUUGUCCCUUUGAUACCAUUUCAUUGGUUGAGCUACGUAGAUAUACGAGAAAUAUUCUAAAAACCAGGGUCUCCUUCGACAAACAAAAUUCUAAAAACGAAUCAAACAUAGGCUCCAUUUACGUCACGAAAAUUAAAUGAUUUGAAAAGUAUUUUUCAAAAAGGAAACGAGGAAGCAUCGUUGAUGUCACAUGCUAAGAUUGUCCUAUGUUUUUAGGUGGCUCUCAUAUGGGAAUUCCACUGGACAUUGCGAAAAUUGCUAAAUAAAUUUGGCUAUACGAAAAAGAAGGGGGUCACAUUUGUAUUAUUAAUGAAUUAUUUACCACUAGCUCUUUUUGUGAGGCAAGUAUCAAUAAUUAGACCAAACCACGGAAAUAUCCGAUGUUCUUUAUUAUUUCUCAUUUAGUUCUCCGGUGAUUUCACACUAUUUUAUUUGCAAGAUUAGAUUAGUUUCCAGGUUAAUUUUACAACAUUCUCCAGCAAGGACUCGGCCUAUUGUCAUGCUAAUUCUCUUUGCUGACGAUCAUAACCAAAGUUUAGCAGCCCAUAAUUGAUCGGUGUCCUGCAAAUAUCGUGCUUGGACAAGUUGACCCGGCAUUACAGAGCCCCACAGGCAUAGCAACAAGGAAGCAUCCUUGAUGUCACAUGCUAAGAUUGUCCUAUGUUUCUAGGGGGCUCCCAUAUGGGAAUUCCACUGGAAAUUGCGAAAAUUGCUGAAUAAAUUUGUGUUUUUCAUUCUCAACAAAAUUCUGAAGUGUUUAUUUCAAUAUUUUAUUUUCAACGCAUGGCAUUUUAUGAAUCACAUGUUGCUCUUCACAUCUCCAGGCUCUUCACAGCAGCCAAU
rnacentral:lncRNA from 1 species